GCCCGCUCAGAAACUUAAAUGAAUUGACGGGGCCCGGCACAAGCGGUGGAGUAUGUGGUUUAAUUCGAUGCAACGCGAAGAACCUUACCUGGUCUUGACACCCCGGAGACCCUUAGGAAACUAGGGGGUGCUUCCAUCUGGAAGAAUCUGGAGACAGGUGCUGCAUGGCUGUCGUCAGCUCGUGUCGUGAGAUAUUGGGUUAAGUCCCGCAACGAGCGCAACCCUUGCCUUUAGUUGCCAGCAGUUCGGCUGGGCACUCUAAAGGGACUGCCGGUGUUAAACCGGAGGAAGGUGGGGAUGACGUCAAGUCCUCAUGGCCUUUAUGACCAGGGCUACACACGUACUACAAUGGCCGAUACAAAGGGCAGCGACACUGCGAGGUGAAGCCAAUCCCGUAAAAUCGGUCUCAGUCCGGAUUGGAGUCUGCAACUCGACUCCAUGAAGUUGGAAUCGCUAGUAAUCGUGGAUCAGCGUGCCACGGUGAAUACGUUCCCGGGCCUU
rnacentral:rRNA from 1 species